rnacentral:rRNA from 1 species
GAUGAACGCUGGCGGCGUGCCUAAUACAUGCAAGUCGAGCGAACAGAUGAGGAGCUUGCUCCUCUGACGUUAGCGGCGGACGGGUGAGUAACACGUGGAUAACCUACCUAUAAGACUGGGAUAACUUCGGGAAACCGGAGCUAAUACCGGAUAAUAUAUUGAACCGCAUGGUUCAAUAGUGAAAGACGGUUUUGCUGUCACUUAUAGAUGGAUCCGCGCCGCAUUAGCUAGUUGGAAAGGUAACGGCUUACCAAGGCGACGAUGCGUAGCCGACCUGAGAGGGUGAUCGGCCACACUGGAACUGAGACACGGUCCAGACUCCUACGGGAGGCAGCAGUAGGGAAUCUUCCGCAAUGGGCGAAAGCCUGACGGAGCAACGCCGCGUGAGUGAUGAAGGUCUUCGGAUCGUAAAACUCUGUUAUUAGGGAAGAACAAAUGUGUAAGUAACUAUGCACGUCUUGACGGUACCUAAUCAGAAAGCCACGGCUAACUACGUG